CAGGCAGGAAGACGGAUGAGAGCAGGUGACUUGAGGCUAUAUUUGCGCAGCAUGCCCUGUUUUUACUGGGAGUGUAUGUUUCCUUGGGCGGCUGGCAUUCGUGGGAGAGGCAGAAACUCGUGGCGAUUGUUGGGGGAGGGGCCAGACACCUGCUGCCCCCACCCGCGCUCCUAUCCCCUUUCACUCCUCUCGGUGAACCUCCAUCCCCAGGGCCUUCCCUCUCCUCAGCCGGAGCUUCUCUCGGCCUUCAAGCCUCAAACCUGGCAUCCCCUUGGGCUCUUCAAGGACCCUCUAAAUUAGAUAAAUUAGAACCCCUGUUGCCAGAUGGGCCCUUCCUUCCAACCAACACCUCAUGUAUGUGAGUCAGCUUUUUCUUUUUUUCUUUUUUUCCAGCCACAUUCGAGUCAUACGGAAGUUCCCUGGCCAGGGAUGGAGUCAGAACCACAGCUGUGACCUACACCACAGCUGCAGCAACACUGGAUCCUUAACCCACUGCACCGCAGCUGGAACUCCAUGUGAGUCAGCUUUCGAUCUGUGUGAUGAUUCGUCUCUCUCCCCCAGCAAACUGGGAACUCUGGAGACAGGUCCAGAUGGCAAACCACAGACAGCUUUCUGCCUGGUUUCUCUGGUGGAACAGGAUCAGAGAAUGAAGGAAAUGCAAUUUACAGGGGCCAUUUGUGACUCUAACAAAGCUGAAAAGUGCAGAGAGAGACGUCCCUUGGUAUCCAGUUGCGUCUGAGCCAUUUGCUUGUCGAUGGGAGCUUAUGUUCUGGAAGACUGUUGGCCAAACGCUUUGGCCAAAAGCCUAUAAGCUUAUAAGCUUAUAACAAAUAUAGCUAAUGAUUUUUUUCCUCUUUGUGAAGAACAAAAAGGAUGAACAAACCGUGACUGUUGUAUGUUGGUAUAUUACGCCACAGUACUAUGUCUUUUUUCAGAAGAUAAAUUAUACGUAUGGCAGUGAGAAAAGAGAUUGCAUAAGUCACCAAAUCCCUGUGCUACAGUAUGUCUAUAAAUGUUUCUUACUGUUUGCGUGUUUCUGCUAAAGAAUAAACAAGGACGUG
rnacentral:lncRNA from 9 species